rnacentral:rRNA from 1 species
UGCGCAGGCGGAAUGAUAAGUCAGUGGUGAAAGCCUACAGCUUAACUGUAGAAAUGCCAUUGAUACUGUCGUUCUUGAGUACAGUUGAAGUGGGCGGAAUGUGUCAUGUAGCGGUGAAAUGCAUAGAUAUGACACAGAACACCGAUAGCGAAGGCAGCUCACUAAGCUGAAACUGACGCUCAGGCACGAAAGCGUGGGGAGCAAACAGGAUUAGAUACCCUGGUAGUCC